rnacentral:rRNA from 1 species
GACGAACGCUGGCGGCGUGCUUAACACAUGCAAGUCGAACGGAAAGGCCCUGCUUUUGUGGGGUGCUCGAGUGGCGAACGGGUGAGUAACAUGUGAGUAACCUACCCUUGACUUUGGGAUAACUUCAGGAAACUGGGGCUAAUACCGGAUAGGAGCUCCUGCUGCAUGGUGGGGGUUGGAAAGUUUCGGCGGUUGGGGAUGGACUCGCGGCUUAUCAGCUUGUUGGUGGGGUAGUGGCUUACCAAGGCUUUGACGGGUAGCCGGCCUGAGAGGGUGACCGGCCACAUUGGGACUGAGAUACGGCCCAGACUCCUACGGGAGGCAGCAGUGGGGAAUAUUGCACAAUGGGCGGAAGCCUGAUGCAGCAACGCCGCGUGCGGGAUGACGGCCUUCGGGUUGUAAACCGCUUUCGCCUGUGACGAAGCGUGAGUGACGGUAAUGGGUAAAGAAGCACCGGCUAACUACGUG